UACGUAGGGUGCAAGCGUUGUCCGGAUUUAUUGGGCGUAAAGAGCUCGUAGGCGGUCUGUCGCGUCGGAUGUGAAAACCCAGGGCUCAACCCUGGGCCUGCAUUCGAUACGGGCAGACUAGAGUACGGCAGGGGAGACUGGAAUUCCUGGUGUAGCGGUGAAAUGCGCAGAUAUCAGGAGGAACACCGGUGGCGAAGGCGGCAUCCUGGACCGGCACUGACGCUGAGGAGCGAAAGCCAGGGGAGCAAACGAG
rnacentral:rRNA from 1 species